AUAGUCCAGAUCAGAUUGCGAUGAACGGUUCAGAUUCACUCCCUAUUUAAUCGCGAUCGGAUGACUCAAAUCAAACGCAAUGGACGACCCUGAUUAAAAGGGGACAGAUAUAAACAACCAUCUUAAUACCAAACCCUAACAUUAGCCGCCAGACCCCCUGCCGGAAAAGAAGACCCAGCCGCCCAGAAGGAAGCCAACCGCCGCCGCCGACACACUGGAGUCACUUUCAACCGCCAAAAG
rnacentral:lncRNA from 1 species